CCUACGGGAGGCAGCAGUGGGGGAUAUUGGACAAUGGGGGGAACCCUGAUCCAGCGACGCCGCGUGAGUGAAGAAGUAUUUCGGUAUGUAAAGCUCUGUCAGCAGGGAAGAAAGAAAUGACGGUACCUGACCAAGAAGCCCCGGCUAACUACGUGCCAGCAGCCGCGGUACUACGUAGGGGGCAAGCGUUAUCCGGAAUUACUGGGUGUAAAGGUAGCGUAGACGGUUAAGUAAGUCUGGAGUGAAAGGCCGGGGCCCAACCCCGGGACUGCUCUGGAAACUAUUGAACUGGAGUGCAGGAGAGGUAAGCAGAAUUCCUAGUGUAGCGGUGAAAUGCGUAGAUAUUAGGAGGAACACCAGUGGCGAAGGCGGCUUACUGGAAUGUAACUGACGUUGAGGCUCGAAAGCGUGGGGAGCAAACAGGAUUAGAUACCCGUGUAGUC
rnacentral:rRNA from 1 species